CGAACGGGUGAGAAACACGUGAGAAACUGCCCCGGACUUUGGGAUAACACGCGGAAACGCGUGCUAAUACCGAAUGCCGUCGGCGGAUCGCAUGAUCCGCUGACGAAAGGGAUUCCGGUUCGGGAGGGUCUCGCGGCCUAUCAGCUAGUUGGCGGGGUAACGGCCCACCAAGGCAGCGACGGGUAGCUGGUCUGAGAGGAUGAUCAGCCACACUGGGACUGAGACACGGCCCAGACACCUACGGGAGGCAGCAGUGGGGAAUCUUGCGCAAUGGGCGAAAGCCUGACGCAGCAACGCCGCGUGCGGGAAGAAGGCCUUCGGGCUGUAAACCGCUUUCAGCAGGGACGAAACUGACGGUACCUGUAGAAGAAGGAGCGGCCAACUAUGUGCCAGCAGCCGCGGUGACACAUAGGCUCCAAGCGUUGUCCGGAUUCAUUGGGCGUAAAGAGCUCGUAGGCGGUCGUGUAAGUCGGGUGUGAAAACUCUGGGCUCAACCCAGAGACGCCACCCGAUACUGCUCUGACUCGAGUUCGGCAGGGGAGUGGGGAAUUCCUCGUGUAGCGGUGAAAUGCGCAGAUAUGAGGAGGAACACCGGUGGCGAAGGCGCCACUCUGGGCCGAUACUGACGCUGAGGAGCGAAAGCACGGGUAGCAAACAGGAUUAGAUACCCUGGUAGUCCGUGCCGUAAACGGUGGGCACUAGGUGUGGGAUUCAACUAACGGAUUCCGCGCCGUCGCUAACGCAUUAAGUGCCCCGCCUGGGGAGUACGGUCGCAAGACUAAAACUCAAAGGAAUUGACGGGGGCCCGCACAAGCAGCGGAGCGUGUUGCUUAAUUCGAUGCUACGCGAAGAACCUUACCUGGGUUUGACAUGUUCGGAACAGCCACAGAGAUGUGGUGUCCGCAAGGGCCGAACACAGGUGGUUCAUGGCUGUCGUCAGCUCGUGUCGUGAGAUGUUGGGUAAAGUCCCGCAACGAGCGCAACCCUUGUCCAAUGUUGCCAACAUUCAGUUGGGGACUCAUUGGAGACCGCCGGGGUCAACUCGGAGGAAGGUGGGGAUGACGUCAAGUCCUCAUGCCCCUUAUGUCUUGGGCUGCACGCAUGCUACAAUGGCCGGUACA
rnacentral:rRNA from 1 species